rnacentral:lncRNA from 1 species
CUUAACUCCAGCUAUUCCAUUUCUUUGAAAAAGAAAGUGAUAAAAUGUUGCCAUGGGCUUAUAAAAAUAUUUGGCAAUGUACCUCCCAAGAAACAGCAAAGAAACUUACAAUUUUUUCUACCGAGAAAAUAAAUUGAAGGCUCAGAAAACUAGGAAAUAGAGUGCUUGACCAACUUUCUCCAAAGGAAGGAAUAGAUAUUCAGUUGAUUUACUGUGGUCAAGCGUUGGGAGGAGAAGGUACAAGGAUGAGAGGGAUGGGCAAGGACAGGAGAGGUGAAUGCUGGGAAGCUGGACGGCAGGAGGGUGAGGACACACGCAGGGACCGCAGGAGUGGGGGCCCCGGGGAAGAAAGCUGAGUGACCAUGUGUCCAGAAAGAAGGGGACAAUGGAUUUGGUGGGAAGAGCCAUCAGCUAAAUUGCCUUUUGCUGUUUAAAAUGAAACCUCACCAGUUUGUCAAAAAAGCAGCAAAAUUUUGAUGUCUCAUUAAAAGAACUUGGUGAUCUGGGUCAGAUGUGAGAGGUAAGCACAACAUCUUCACUCUGUCCGGGCCUGGCCAUGAGGUGGAAUUAUGGAGCAGAUGGGUUUUCAUCCGUUCUCAGUGUCCCGGGGCCUUACUCCCUAUUCCUGGCGCAGCUGUCCAGAUGCCUGACCUUUCUAGUGAUUUCUGGAAAGACCUGCCUUUCCCAUAACCCAGUUCUAUAAAAUCUCGCACGAUGGUAUGGGGGAAAGAGCACGGGCUCCAUAGAGGGCACAUUCUGGAUCGAAAUCUAGUUCUGACGUGCACUAGAUGCUUUAGGGUCCCGUUAUUUAAUGUCUCUCCAAGCCUCAGUUUCUGCAUCUGUAAAAUGGAGAUAGCAUCUAGUCUGCAUAAAGCUUGUGAGUUUUAAACGAGAAUGCGACAUCCAGGACACAGGAGGUUCUCCAUAUUAAUGCGUUGCUUUCCUCCUCGCUUCUGUGCUGUCCGAGGUGUCUAGAUUAUUCAGCUUAACCUGCUCUUACUGAGACCUGUUGCUCCUAAGCCACAUGUGUGGAUAUUAACAACGAUCUGUGGGACCACCAGCAUAAAGUCAGCGUCUCUGCAUGGUACUUCUUCCAGUCGUAGGAUGUGGGUAUGGAAAUGGAUCAAUAUGUUGUGAGUACUCUACUACGAGCCUAAGGCGGACCCCCAGCUUCAUUGCUUCCUGGUUAUGCAAGCUUGGGUGAGUUUCCCCUCCUCUCUCAAUUCCACUUUCCUUGUCUGUAAUCUUUCCUCCUCAAAGGCAGGAGUGAAAAAUAGCAGAAAAGCCAUGCACAGUGCUUGGCACGGAGCAGACACUCCAGCGUGUUAGCCAGAAUUGUGAACGCACCUUUCUGAUGCCUUCUGGGAGGUGGAGGACACUUGCUUCACAAGGCAAGGAGGAGUAAAAUGACCCAAGCAUUUAUGUGGCCUUUAGAGCCACUGGAACACCUCUCUUGAGGAAGUCUUUGAAGAGGUUAAGAAAGUUUUAAGGCCAUUUCUCUUUAGGGAAAUCUUUGCUUGCCUUUGGAAUUUUCUAACCCUGUCCCUUAGGAUAAACUAGCCUAGGAUAGUCAGGAUGCUGCUAUGGUGACAAACAAUCUCAUUUCCUGCUCAUGCCACCUACCCAUCCCAGGUCUGCCCCGACUGCCCUCCCUCAGGGAGGCAAGCUGACAUGGUUCCACCAUUUGGAGACCCCUGGAGAGGAGAGAGAAUGGGGCAGACUGAACACCAGAACCUAAGGGCUUUGCCCAAAAGUGCAACAUAUCUCCUCUGGCCUCAUUGUAUGAACCAAAGCGAGUCAUGUGGCAACACCUAAUGAUAAGUGGGUGGAGAAGGGCAAUCGAUGCUCCGAAGGCAGAGAACUGGAAAUACUGAUGAGCACCAGUUAUUAGCACUCAGACAUUAACAAGAAUGCAGGGCAUCUGAGCACACCCGUUCCAUUUGACCCAUAAAACAGCGCUGAUGCCCGACGCCCGCACCACAACCAUGGCAGAACAGAUGGCACUGUUUGAUUCCCGGAAGAAAAUUCAAAACAAGACUCACCAUUUUAUAGUCGAAUUUAAAGCGAUUUUUAGGAAUAGCUUUUUCUAGGAACUAACGAUCAGAUAAAGAUGGAUUUGGGACGGAUAGACUUGCAACUUGAAGCGGUGGG